CGUAGGAAUCUACCUAGUAGUACGGAAUAGCCAUUAGAAAUGAUGGGUAAUACUGUAUAAUCCCCGCGGGGGAAAGAUUUAUCGCUAUUAGAUGAGCCUACGUUAGACUAGCUAGUUGGUAAGGUAAUGGCUUACCAAGGCUAUGAUCUAUAGCUGGUCUGAGAGGACGAUCAGCCACACUGGAACUGAGAUACGGUCCAGACUCCUACGGGAGGCAGCAGUGGGGAAUAUUGGACAAUGGGCGAAAGCCUGAUCCAGCUAUGCCGCGUGAGUGAAGAAGGCCUUCGGGUUGUAAAACUCUUUCAAUAGGGAAGAUAAUGACGGUACCUAUAGAAGAAGUCCCGGCAAACUCUGUGCCAGCAGCCGCGGUAAUACGGAGGGGGCAAGCGUUGUUCGGAAUUAUUGGGCGUAAAGGGCACGUAGGUGGACUAGUAAGUUAAAAGUGAAAUACCAAAGCUUAACUUUGGAGCGGCUUUUAAUACUGCUAGACUAGAGGUCGAAAGAGGAUAGCGGAAUUCCUAGUGUAGAGGUGAAAUUCGUAGAUAUUAGGAGGAACACCAGUUGCGAAGGCGGCUAUCUGGUUCGAUACUGACACUGAGGUGCGAAAGCGUGGGGAGCAAACAGGAUUAGAUACCCUGGUAGUCCACGCUGUAAACGAUGAGUGCUAAAUGUGAGGAUUUUAUCUUUGUAUUGUAGCUAACGCGUUAAGCACUCCGCCUGGGGACUACGGUCGCAAGACUAAAACUCAAAGGAAUUGACGGGGACCCGCACAAGCGGUGGAGCAUGUGGUUUAAUUCGAUGCUACGCGAAAAACCUUACCACUUUUUGACAUGAAGGUCGUAUCCCUCCUAACAGGGGGAGUCAGUUCGGCUGGACCUUACACAGGUGCUGCAUGGUUGUCGUCAGCUCGUGUCGUGAGAUGUUGGGUUAAGUCCCGCAACGAGCGCAACCCUCAUUCUUAGUUACCAACAGGUAAUGCUGGGCACUCUAAGGAAACUGCCAGUGAUAAACUGGAGGAAGGUGGGGAUGAUGUCAAAUCAGCACGGCCCUUAUAAGGUGGGCUACACACGUGCUACAAUGGCAACUACAAUAGGUUGCGAGACCGCAAGGUUUAGCUAAUCCAUAAAAGUUGU
rnacentral:rRNA from 1 species